GGAAGUUGACUUGCCGUUCAUUUUUGUAUCGAGCUUAAUAAUUCUACUGCUUAGUCUGCUCCUCUAUAUAAGUGCUAUCCCACAUGCUCUCUCUUGUCAUCAACAAUCUUUGCUUCUUUUUCAAUCUGUUUGAGAGAUAUGGCGCAGAUCAAAGCUUCCCUUAGAUUGUUUUUUCUCUUCCUAAUUGCUGUGUCGUACCUUGUCUCAAGUGCUGCUAUUCCUACCAACUAGAAAGAUAAAGCCAAAUAAGGAAGACCCAUCUGCUCAAGAUCUUCUGGUUCCGGAUGCACUAGUCUUCUUUAAGGAUGGAAAUGAUCAUCAAGGGUUUGAUUUUGAAACCGCUGACUACAAGCCUCCAGGACAUAAUACAGACCAUGAACCGAAAACCCCCGGAAGAGCUUAAUUAAAGACAAGUCGACCGAAAUCCCUAAGAUGUUUGUGAAUACCAAUAAACUUUGAAGGGGGGUUUGGAUCUUGGACUUGGUUAUCUUCUCUUGCUAUUGAUGAGCUAGUGUGCUCUCUAUCUGUGUUCUUAAAUUUGUGUUGCCUUCGAUCUCCUUGAACUGGAUCUUGAAAGUGUGGCUUGUUUGUGUAUAUAGUUUGUGACCUAACAGGUCUACCCUGUUUGUUUUCAAGAAUUAUUAAUCUAUAGUUUGGUUUGUAUAA